GCCGCCAACGGCUGCCGUCGGGAUUGCGCGGGGGGGGGUCUGCUGCCCCUGCUCUCGUCGAGGGCCAGUGCUCUCGUUCCCGUCUUCCCACAUUCAUACCCCAUCGUUCUGCCAUAGCUCCCUCUCUUGCCCCAGUCAGAGACCUCUGUGGGAGCUCUGUGGGCCCUGAUCGGAACCGGCUUGUCUGCCGGCUCGUGCCCAGGCACCCCGUGGGCCUUUUCACUGCCACUCUCCUCCUCAUCCCCCCUGUUCUCCCUACACUGCUGCUGAUAGACAAACUGGACUGGCCCCAGCUAGAGGUGGAAAAAACACGUUUGCUCACAUCUGAGAGCCCGCCUGUGGGUGGGUGAGCGGGGGCUGAGGCACAGUGGAGGCCUGGAACGCAGUGUCUGGAACAGCAGAGGAUACAGUCAAUGAUAUGUGGACAUGCAUCAAAGCUUCGCUCUUGCUGGUGACAUCAUAGCCUUCCAAUGACCAUGACAUCCACCACCUCCCCCUUGUGAAGCUCCACAUACUGCUCUGUCUUUGGAGGUAGCAUCAACAGUCCAUUGGCACUGCGCAUACUCAUCAGACGACUGCUCAUCUGAUUCCCUGCAGAAGGAUGCAGAGAACCUAGAGAUUUCUGCACACAGAAUGAAAGCAGAAGUGCUAGCAGUGGCUCUACACCAAUCAUGCUGAAGACGAUUGCACCAUGAGCAACAUGCUGCUGCAACCAAAAGCAAAAUGAGUUUUAACUUGUGACUCACAUCAUCUGAUUCCCUGAUGAGUUCUGUAUCUUCCACUUGCACCACUGCAUCAGCACCACAAGGGAUUGGAGCACCGGUUGUAACUCGCAUUACCUGACCUGGCAUCACAGUUUGAGUUGGCUGAAAAACAAAAUAAAACAAUUUAGUUUUGAAUAGAAAAAUCUUAAAUGAUAUGAACAUUAUGAAGGUAAUCUGAAAGAAUAAAAUUCUUCCAUAUGGCAUGCAUCUUGUUAUACUGCUAGUGAUAUUGACAGGAACAAACUCCAACAUCUUUGAAAACCAUUAGGAACCUGGCUUUUAGGUCGCAUAUCAGGUAGGUUCAUUUUUCCCAACAGAUAGAUUCCUAUCAUAAGCAUAACUUUCAGAUGGAGCAAUAUGGUGGUAUUUUGAUUGGCUCAGAAAUGUCACAUUUAAAUGGAGACCUUCAGAAACUUACAUGAGCAAAAAUCUAGUAUGUGUCCAUAGAUAAAUAAUUCUGCAGAAUAUUCUGUUCCUUAGGUUGAAUUUCUUUUUUACACUUUUUAUGCGCUGUGUGACUGGAAGUUAUUGCUAUACUGACCUACAAGAAGGGCAUAAGAAGAUCCAGGAAACUACAGACCUGUUAGUCUAACCUCAGUCCCCAUAAAAACUAUGGAGAUUGUCCUGGAUGAGAGGAAAUGGAGAGGGAGGCAACAUUUUUUUCUCCUCAGUGAUAGGACAUGAAUGAAGAGCACACAGAUGCACCAGGGGAUGUUCAGGCUAGAUAACAGGAAAAACUUUACUGUAAGAGUGAUCAGACACUGGAACAGACUUCCUAGAGAGGUGGUUGAUGCCCCAAACCUGUCAGUAUUCAAGAGGCAUUUGGAUGAUGCAUGAUAACAUGCUGUAGCUUUUGGUUAGACCUGAAGAGAUCAAGCAGCAAAACUAGAUAGUUACUGUAGGUCCCUUCCUAAAUCUCUAAGUUUCUGGUAUAACCUGCUGCUUGAUUUUUAAGCAAAUUUCCUCAUAAUGAGAGACAGUUCAAUGUCACUUCACAUAGAAUAUCUAUUUUUGCAAAGGUCACUUUAGCAAAGACUAAAAUAUAUAAUGCUCUACAAUUAUGUAAGUCACAGUACAUCAGAAAGUUUCACUAGAAGAAGACAAAGAAUAGAAAAAUACCAGAAUAAAACAAGUGAUGUGGUUUUAAUAACAUUUCACACCAGGAAGCCUAUUUUAAUAAAAUUGUACAAAAUCCAGAGUAAAACUGUAAUUUGACCACAACCAUAUGAGAAAUAAAUAACGAAAAUAAAAAUCUUUGUGAUAAAAUGCAGCUAAAGGAAGCUGUAUGAAAAUUGAGGUUUUAUUGCUGGAAUGUGUUUGCUCCACACAAUGCCCUAGUAAGGCCAACUUAUUUGGGUUUUACUGUGAUUAGUGUACAUGAUACAGCUGUGAUCAAUCCAACAUAUUCUGUGCACGUUACAUUUAUAAUUCCGGUACAGAUGGACUCUAUAUUUCAUAUGCAAUCCUGGAGCGUGUCCAGGACUUCUCAGACUGAGUGUGAUUAGCACAUAUUUGAUAGCUACCCAUAGACUUCAAAGUAGUAAUGCCCAAGCACUCUUAUUUGCUCAUGCACAGCAGUGAUAUGCUCUAUGACUUUUGACAAGAAGCUGUUAGACAUCUGUAUGUUCUAGACAGGUGGCCAACGUUUCAAAUGUACAUAGCUGUGUUUGCCUUGUCCAUUAUUCUACUCCAUUUCAGCACAGCUGUAAUGUCUGAAAUGUGAAUAUUCCUUUGGAACGUGUGUAUUUCAAAGGCUGCUGUAUUUUGUUCUUUGGCACAAAGACAUUAGGAAAAAGUUGUAAAUGGGUUGUCCCUAAUUUCCUACAGUAAUGCUCUAUGUAUCCCAAGAAAUUACUGAGUUUGGAUUUGAUUGAAUACUGGCGCUUUUCUAAGCGUAAAGGAAAUAUAACAUCCUUUGAGAAGAACAUAAAGUGCUAAGAUAAACUGGAAAAAGAGUUCGCAGUUGCAACAUGUCAUGGUUUAUGUGCUUUCCGAGCAAGACUGAUGUUAUCUUAAAGUAGGCAUCUAACAUAAAUAAGAUGAAAGAAAUACGUUUUCAUUUUAUUUUUCUCAAACAGAAUUCUCACCACAGAUUAUUCAAGGAGCUGUUGAUGAACAGCUGAGAUGCAGCCAUUUACACUGAAUAUGAUUAAAACUAAGUGAAAAUAACCUGUCCAGUGUGGUGGUUUGAUUUUUAUGAAAACAAAUGUUGCAAAAAGCAGAGUUUAUGCCUUGGGAGUGUGGGAGCUCUUUUGCAUAUUCUUGUAGGUACAUUACAAAUAAGUAAUAUUGUUUUGAACUUACUAAAUAAUUAGUCUUUUAGCAGCAAGUUUUAAAGGAGAAAUGUUUUGCAUAAAAAAUUCGCCCAUUUAAAAUACAGUUUUUCAGCCUCAAGAACGACAAAAAAUGCAUGCAUAGGACUCUGCCAGAAAAUAGUGCUUAUGGUGAUAAAAUGCACAGUAAAUAUCCAUGUUUUUGGAGUUUAUUAUCAUAUGAAGCAGUUAAUUUUUUUGAGGUGUAGUGAUGUAAAGUGUUUAAACAAAUUUAUGAUGCAGUAACAUUUGUUUUUAUAAUCAGUUAUGUUGCUCUUAUAUUUCAUUUCCUUUUUGUCCUUUGGGAAUUUGGCCAGAUGAACUUUAUAAAGAAGACAGAGCUGUUUUCUCCUGUUCUUCACAGACACUGUGAAGAAAUUAUUUCUCAGAAAGCAUAUUAAUACAUCAAUUUCACAGAAGCUCUUUUAAAGGUCACUGAGAUCUCACACUUACCUGCAAUAGGGCACUACAGGAUUCUACCUUUCACCUUCAUCACUGAUAAUGCAUUUUAUGUUAAUCACUGACUAAAACCAGAAGUAAUCUGUCAAGCAUAGCCUCAUCUCAAGCAUUUUCUCUUGCACAAUAUUACACCUCUCCUGCAAGAUUUACAAUGACCCAUGCUCCCUUCUGUAAAAAGGGUCAAGUUAAUGGAAAGGUGAAAAAUGUCUGUUUCCAUCCAUCCAUUAUGGUUAGUCACAGCUCCUCUUAAAAACAUCUUUGGUCUUCCAGGAAAUUCUAAUCCUCAGCUAUUCAACUCUAAGGGAAGAAAAUCAUUGCUCCCUGUGGUCUAGUUUUUCACAGAGUCUGUGCUGAUGGCUCUUGACUAGUGCUCUCAAAUGUGCCCUAACCUCUCCAGAGCAGGGUUGUGUCUGAAAGUUUUCUUCAAUACUAAAUAAAAAAAAUGUCUGUUAAUAUAAGCACAACUGUCUGGAAAUGGAAUUGAGAAAGCAAUAUACAAUUCACAGAUUGAUACAGAAAUGUCCAGCUUGGCUAUAUGGCCACUCUGCAGUUCUCAGUCCCAUUUUCUUCCUCUCUAAGUAGCAUUUACAUAACCUUUUUCUCCCUACAGGAGGAGCCAAAUCUAAACCUAUUUUGAACUCCCUGCUGUGAAUCAUUCUUCAGUUAAUUGGUCUGUAACAUGAAAAGCAGUAUGCUGCUGCUGAGAGUGACUGAAGGGUGAAAUAAGACCGGGGAGACUUCCAUGUCUAUAAAUCGUUUCUUGGGAAGGAGAUGAACAUGAAGAUGUGCUGGCCCAAGAGAAAACCUCUGACCAAUUAUUCAGAGGUCAACAGCCUCAUUUUUCUUACUUGCCGCUGGGAUUUCCAGAACUGUUCUCUCUCUGCAUGCACCCCAUUCCGAUUAAUCUGGUAGGACAGACUGUUCCUGUAGAUACACAUUUGUGAGCUACUGAAUUCUGUAGGAGGGAAACAAUCUUCCACUUGCCCUUCCAUCCUUACUACAAACCUGCUGAACUGAUUAGGACACCAAAACCCCUCAGACCUGUGGGCAGUUCUAAGUCCAUACAGCUUCACCAGUACUGUUUGUAAGCACCACUGUGCUGUAAUGCUUUUUAACUAGCAAAAUAAGAAUACUGAUGACAGGUAAAUAAUGGUAUAAAUGAUAAUAUAGCAGAUUGCUCUGCUGGUUUAUAAUGACCAUAUAG